ensembl:rRNA 5S_rRNA 5S ribosomal RNA
GUCUACGCCACACCAUCCUGAACGUGCCCCAUCUCAUGUGAUCUCGGAGGCUAAACAGGGUCAUGCCUGAUUAAUACUUGGAUGGGAGAUCACCCCGGAACACUGGGUGCUGCAGGCU